rnacentral:rRNA from 1 species
AUACGUAGGGGGCGAGCGUUGUCCGGAAUGAUUGGGCGUAAAGGGCGCGUAGGCGGCCCGGUAAGUCUGGAGUGAAAGUCCUGUUUUUAAGAUGGGAAUUGCUUUGGAUACUGUCGGGCUUGAGCGCAGGAGAGGUAAGUGGAAUUCCCAGUGUGGCGGUGAAAUGCGUAGAGAUUGGGAGGAACACCAGUGGCGAAGGCGAAUUACUGGACUGUAACUGAAGCUGUGGCGCGAAAGUGUGGGGAGAAAACAGGAUUAGAUACCCUGGUAGUCCACACUGUAAACGAUGAAUGCUAGGUGUAGGGGGUAUCGACCCCUUCUGUGCCGCAGUCAACACAAUAAGCAUUCCGCCUGGGGAGUACGGCCGCAAGGUUGAAACUCAAAUGAAUUGGCGGGG